AAAAAUGUUGAGGUCAAAAUGAAAGUAUUUAAAGGACUAGGAAACUUUCGAAUUACAGUUCUCAGAGUCAGCACUCUCUCACCUGGAAGAUCAGCUCCUCCAUCUGCCAAAGACAUACAAUGAAGGCUGUUGUCCUGCUGCUGUUGUGCGCCGUCGUGGCCAUGAGCUCCGCCACCUUGUACAACCCUCUGUACAAGUACGGCUAUGGACUGGGUGGUCUUGGACUGGGUGGUCUUGGUCUUGGCUAUGGUGGACUAGGACUAGGAGGCUUGUAUGGCGGCUAUGGUCUUGGAGGCCUGUAUGGCGGCUAUGGUCUUGGCUAUGGUCUCUACGGAGGGUUGAAGGGAUUUUACUAAACUAGAAAAGAGACCAAACGUUCGUCAACCAAACAGAUCGAGACUGAAGGAUGAAAGAUCAAUGGAUCCAUUGAAAGAAAGAUCAUUUUGUUUAUAGCAGAAAAGCAAUAAAAAGUUGAUUCAAA